CCUACGGGAGGCAGAAGUAGGGAAUCUUCCACAAUGGGCGAAAGCCUGAUGGAGCAACGCCGCGUGGGUGAAGAAGGUCUUCGGAUCGUAAAACCCUGUUGUUAGAGAAGAAAGUGCGUGAGAGUAACUGUUCACGUUUCGAAGGUAUCUAACCAGAAAGCCACGGCUAACUACGUGCCAGCAGCCGCGGUAAUAAUUAGGUGGCAAGCGUUAUCCGGAUUGAUUGGGCGUAAAGGGAACGAGGGCGGUCUUUUAAGUCUGAUGUGAAAGCCUUCGGCUUAACCGGAGUAGUGCAUUGGAAACUGGGAGACUUGAGUGCAGAAGAGGAGAGUGGAACUCCAUGUGUAGCGGUGAAAUGCGUAGAUAUAUGGAAGAACACCAGUGGCGAAAGCGGCUCUCUGGUCUGUAACUGACGCUGAGGUUCGAAAGCGUGGGUAGCAAACAGGAUUAGAUACCCGGGUAGUC
rnacentral:rRNA from 1 species